rnacentral:lncRNA from 1 species
AACACUUUAGGUCUUUUGAUUAUGAAAGGUGUACAUGGAUUUAAUACACAGUGGUACAUCUUCUAUAUGCAUAACUUGGAGGAGCUUAACAAAUGUUGGAGUCCAUGGCUUUUUUCAUUGAAUGUCUGGUAUUUUUUCCAAUUAUAUUUAGUUUUCAGGUUCAUGUUUCCUCUAAAUUUCAAUUAGGUUCAAUUUUCAUUUAUUAAUUAAU